rfam:Anopheles gambiae M scf_1925491379 genomic scaffold, whole genome shotgun sequence.
CCUUCGAUAGCUCAGUUGGUAGAGCGGUGGACUGUAGAGAAAAUUCGGAGGGUUGCUUUCAAGUCGUUCAAACACUUGAUCAAACCUCCAAGAGUUGUAAAAGAAAUCCAUAGGUCACUGGUUCAAAUCCGGUUCGAAGGA